CACAGGGGGAUAACAGUUGGAAACGACUGCUAAUACCGCAUAAGCGCACAGCACCGCAUGGUGCAGUGUGAAAAACUCCGGUGGUGUGAGAUGGAUCCGCGUCUGAUUAGCUUGUUGGCGGGGUAACGGCCCACCAAGGCGACGAUCAGUAGCCGGCCUGAGAGGGCGACCGGCCACAUUGGGACUGAGACACGGCCCAGACUCCUACGGGAGGCAGCAGUGGGGAAUAUUGCACAAUGGGGGAAACCCUGAUGCAGCGACGCCGCGUGAGCGAUGAAGUAUUUCGGUAUGUAAAGCUCUAUCAGCAGGGAAGAUAAUGACGGUACCUGACUAAGAAGCUCCGGCUAAAUACGUGCCAGCAGCCGCGGUAAUACGUAUGGAGCAAGCGUUAUCCGGAUUUACUGGGUGUAAAGGGAGCGUAGGCGGUCCUGCAAGUCUGAUGUGAAAGGCCGGGGCUCAACCCCGGGACUGCAUUGGAAACUGUAGGACUAGAGUGUCGGAGGGGUAAGUGGAAUUCCUAGUGUAGCGGUGAAAUGCGUAGAUAUUAGGAGGACACCAGUGGCGAAGGCGGCUUACUGGACGACUACUGACGCUGAGGCUCG
rnacentral:rRNA from 1 species